rnacentral:lncRNA from 1 species
AAAAUCUCACAACUUUGCCUUUUGAAUCACCCAAAUCGGUUGAGAGAUGAGAGAGAGAUAAGGGUUUGAAGUUUGGGAAAAUUGGCUGAUUUUCUGCAAUUUAUUGCAGAAAUUUCUGCAAUUUCCCAAAACUAAAAACUCCGACGGGGUGCUCCGAACUCGUUCGGAACCCCGUGCACGCAAACGAGAUAUGCAAUCAUAUCAAAUUCGAUAUUCCAGACUCAACGGCGC